UACAGAGGGUGCAAGCGUUAAUCGGAGUUACUGGGCGUAAAGGGCGCGUAGGCGGAUGUUUAAGUUAAUUGUGAAAUCCCUGGGCUUAACCUAGGAAUGGCAGUUAAUACUGAAUGUCUAGAGUAUGGUAGAGGAAAGCGGAAUUUCCGGUGUAGCGGUGAAAUGUGUAGAUAUCGGAAAGAACACCAGGGCGAAGGCGGCUUUCUGGACCAAUACUGACGCUGAGGCGCGAAAGCGUGGGGAGC
rnacentral:rRNA from 1 species